rnacentral:rRNA from 1 species
GUCUGGCCUGCCACUGAUUUAUAUUUAAAGGGCCGCGGUAAUUUGACCGUGCGAAGGUAGCAUAAUCAGUAGUCUUUUAAUUGAAGGCUGGAAUGAAUGGUCGGACAAAGAGUGAGCUGUCUUUAUAUAAUUAUUUGAAUUUUACUUUUAAGUGAAAAGGCUUAAAUAAGUUAGGGGGACGAUAAGACCCUAUAAAACUUUACAGAUAUGAUUAUAUUUAUUAAAAUGGAGUUUAAUAGUAUUUAUUAUUUUAUCUGUUGUGUUGGGGCGACAAAGAUAUAAUAGGGUAACUGUUAGUUUUAUUUAAUAGUGAUAAUUAGUUUAGUUGAUCCUUUAUUAGAGAUUAUAAGAAUAAGUUACUUUAGGGAUAACAGCGUAAUUUUCUUUAAGAGUUCGUAUCGACGAGAAUAGUUGCGACCUCGAUGUUGAAUUAAGAUUUCCUUUAGGCGGAGGAGUUUAAACGGUAGGUCUGUUCGACCUUUAAAAUCUUACAUGAUUUGAGUUCAAACCGGUGUGAGCCAGGUUGGUUUUCUAUCU